UACGGAGGGUGCAAACGUUGCUCGGAAUCAUUGGGCGUAAAGCGCACGUAGGCGGCCUGUUAAGUCGGGUGUGAAAGCCCUGGGCUCAACCCAGGAAGUGCACUCGAAACUGGCAGGCUUGAAUAUGGAAGAGGGUCGCGGAAUUCCCGGUGUAGAGGUGAAAUUCGUAGAUAUCAGGAGGAACACCAAUUGCGAAGGCAGCUCGCUGGGACGUAACUGACGCUGAGACGCGAAAGCGUGGGGAGCAAACAGG
rnacentral:rRNA from 1 species